rnacentral:rRNA from 1 species
AAGGCCUUCGGGUUGUAAACUGCUUUUGUACGGAACGAAAAGGCUCUGGUUAAUACCCGGGGCCCAUGACGGUACCGUAAGAAUAAGCACCGGCUAACUACGUGCCAGCAGCCGCGGUAAUACGUAGGGUGCGAGCGUUAAUCGGAAUUACUGGGCGUAAAGCGUGCGCAGGCGGUUAUGUAAGACAGAUGUGAAAUCCCCGGGCUCAACCUGGGAAUGGCAUUUGUGACUGCAUAGCUGGAGUGCGGCAGAGGGGGAUGGAAUUCCGCGUGUAGCAGUGAAAUGCGUAGAUAUGCGGAGGAACACCGAUGGCGAAGGCAAUCCCCUGGGCCUGCACUGACGCUCAUGCACGAAAGCGUGGGGAGCAAACAGGAUUAGAUACCCUGGUAGUCCACGCCCUAAACGAUGUCAACUGGUUGUUGGGUCUUCUCUGACUCAGUAACGAAGCUAACGCGUGAAGUUGACCGCCUGGGGAGUACGGCCGCAAGGUUG